GACGAACGCUGGCGGCGUGCUUAACACAUGCAAGUCGAACGGAAAGGCUCCAGCUUGCUGGAGUACUCGAGUGGCGAACGGGUGAGUAACACGUGGGUAAUCUGCCCUGCACUCUGGGAUAAGCCUGGGAGACUGGGUCUAAUACUGGAUAUGACCUUUCUCCUUAUGGGGUUUGGUGGAAAGUUUUUCGGUGUAGGAUGAGCCCGCGGCCUAUCAGCUUGUUGGUGGGGUGAUGGCCUACCAAGGCGACGACGGGUAGCCGGCCUGAGAGGGUGAUCGGCCACAUUGGGACUGAGAUACGGCCCAGACUCCUACGGGAGGCAGCAGUGGGGAAUAUUGCACAAUGGGCGGAAGCCUGAUGCAGCGACGCCGCGUGAGGGAUGACGGCCUUCGGGUUGUAAACCUCUUUCAGCAGGGACGAAGCGUAAGUGACGGUACCUGCAGAAGAAGCACCGGCUAACUAUGUG
rnacentral:rRNA from 1 species